rnacentral:rRNA from 1 species
GACGAACGCUGGCGGCGUGCUUAACACAUGCAAGUCGAACGGAAAGGCCCUGCUUGCAGGGUACUCGAGUGGCGAACGGGUGAGUAACACGUGGGUGAUCUGCCCUGCACUUCGGGAUAAGCCUGGUAAACUGGGUCUAAUACCGGAUAGGAGCCAUUUUUAGUGUGAUGGUUGGAAAGUUUUUUCGGUGUAGGAUGAGCUCGCGGCCUAUCAGCUUGUUGGUGGGGUAAUGGCCUACCAAGGCGGCGACGGGUAGCCGGCCUGAGAGGGCGGACGGCCACAUUGGGACUGAGAGACGGCCCAGACUCCUACGGGAGGCAGCAGUGGGGAAUAUUGCACAAUGGGCGCAAGCCUGAUGCAGCGACGCCGCGUGGGGGAUGACGGCCUUCGGGUUGUAAACUCCUUUCGCUAGGGACGAAGCUUUUUGUGACGGUACCUAGAUAAGAAGCACCGGCUAACUACGUG